rnacentral:misc_RNA from 1 species
CUCUUUUUCAUUCCGCGUUGCCGUUCCAGAAACCCAAUCCAUAGAACCCACUAGACCCAGCUCACUCUUUCAUACCAUCACUCAGCUACACAUGGUUUUUCUCCACCUGCGUAGUACCAUCACACCAUUCUCUCCUCAGACCUCACUUCCAAAAAACGAUAAACCCAUCUUGCGAUAGACCCACGACAAACCCAUCUCAAUAACUCACCUCUACGACAGUCCCAUCUUGCAAGCCUCACUUCGCGACAAACACCAGAGUCUCCGUCUAGACUCGCGCACCACUAUAACUGCUCACAGACCUUAUUGUCCCUAAUCUCUCCUCUCUUCGUCCAGAUCAGUCUCCAAACAGCCAAAACCUCACGAGCCUCAUCUGUAAACAGAGCCAACCCCAUGAAUAUCAAUCCCCAAGCACUACCAUCCACCAUGCAAUUGAGUUGCCUCCAAUGGGUCAUCAAAUUGCAACUUCAAAGCCAGAAUAUUUAGCUGUGACAUUUGGUUUGUUCUUGACAAGGAAGGUGUCACUAGUGCGAG